rnacentral:rRNA from 1 species
GGUUAAGCGACUAAGCGUACACGGUGGAUGCCCUGGCAGUCAGAGGCGAUGAAGGACGUGCUAAUCUGCGAAAAGCGCCGGCGAGGUGAUAUGAACCCUUGACCCGGCGAUGUCCGAAUGGGGAAACCCAGUGUGAUUCGUCACACUAUCGUUAACUGAAUACAUAGGUUAACGAGGCGAACCGGGGGAACUGAAACAUCUAAGUACCCCGAGGAAAAGAAAUCAACCGAGAUUCCCCCAGUAGCGGCGAGCGAACGGGGAGCAGCCCAGAGUCUGAAUCAGCUUGUGUGUUAGUGGAAGCGUCUGGAAAGUCGCACGGUACAGGGUGAAAGUCCCGUACACGAAAAUGCACAGGCUGUGAACUCGAAGAGUAGGGCGGGACACGUGGUAUCCUGUCUGAAUAUGGGGGGACCAUCCUCCAAGGCUAAAUACUCCUGACUGACCGAUAGUGAACCAGUACCGUGAGGGAAAGGCGAAAAGAACCCCGGCGAGGGGAGUGAAAAAGAACCUGAAACCGUGUACGUACAAGCAGUGGGAGCACCUUUGUGGUGUGACUGCGUACCUUUUGUAUAAUGGGUCAGCGACUUAUAUUCUGUAGCAAGGUUAACCGUAUAGGGGAGCCGAAGGGAAACCGAGUCUUAACUGGGCGUUAAGUUGCAGGGUAUAGACCCGAAACCCGGUGAUCUAGCCAUGGGCAGGUUGAAGGUUGGGUAACACUAACUGGAGGACCGAACCGACUAAUGUUGAAAAAUUAGCGGAUGACCUGUGGCUGGGGGUGAAAGGCCAAUCAAACCGGGAGAUAGCUGGUUCUCCCCGAAAGCUAUUUAGGUAGCGCCUCGUGAACUCAUCUUCGGGGGUAGAGCACUGUUUCGGCUAGGGGGCCAUCCCGGCUUACCAACCCGAUGCAAACUACGAAUACCGAAGAAUGUUAUCACGGGAGACACACGGCGGGUGCUAACGUCCGUCGUGAAGAGGGAAACAACCCAGACCGCCAGCUAAGGUCCCAAAGUCAUGGUUAAGUGGGAAACGAUGUGGGAAGGCCCAGACAGCCAGGAUGUUGGCUUAGAAGCAGCCAUCAUUUAAAGAAAGCGUAAUAGCUCACUGGUCGAGUCGGCCUGCGCGGAAGAUGUAACGGGGCUAAACCAUGCACCGAAGCUGCGGCAGCGACACUAUGUGUUGUUGGGUAGGGGAGCGUUCUGUAAGCCGUUGAAGGUGGCCUGUGAGGGUUGCUGGAGGUAUCAGAAGUGCGAAUGCUGACAUAAGUAACGAUAAAGCGGGUGAAAAGCCCGCUCGCCGGAAGACCAAGGGUUCCUGUCCAACGUUAAUCGGGGCAGGGUGAGUCGACCCCUAAGGCGAGGCCGAAAGGCGUAGUCGAUGGGAAACAGGUUAAUAUUCCUGUACUUGGUGUUACUGCGAAGGGGGACGGAGAAGGCUAUGUUAGCCGGGCGACGGUUGUCCCGGUUUAAGCAUGUAGGCGGAGGUUCCAGGUAAAUCCGGUACCUUUUAACGCUGAGGUGUGAUGACGAGGCACUACGGUGCUGAAGUAACAAAUGCCCUGCUUCCAGGAAAAGCCUCUAAGCAUCAGGUAACACGAAAUCGUACCCCAAACCGACACAGGUGGUCAGGUAGAGAAUACCAAGGCGCUUGAGAGAACUCGGGUGAAGGAACUAGGCAAAAUGGUGCCGUAACUUCGGGAGAAGGCACGCUGAUAUGUAGGUGAAGCCCCUGCGGGUGGAGCUGAAAUCAGUCGAAGAUACCAGCUGGCUGCAACUGUUUAUUAAAAACACAGCACUGUGCAAACACGAAAGUGGACGUAUACGGUGUGACGCCUGCCCGGUGCCGGAAGGUUAAUUGAUGGGGUUAGCGGUAACGCGAAGCUCUUGAUCGAAGCCCCGGUAAACGGCGGCCGUAACUAUAACGGUCCUAAGGUAGCGAAAUUCCUUGUCGGGUAAGUUCCGACCUGCACGAAUGGCGUAAUGAUGGCCAGGCUGUCUCCACCCGAGACUCAGUGAAAUUGAACUCGCUGUGAAGAUGCAGUGUACCCGCGGCAAGACGGAAAGACCCCGUGAACCUUUACUAUAGCUUGACACUGAACACUGGUCCUUGAUGUGUAGGAUAGGUGGGAGGCUUUGAAGCGUGGACGCCAGUCUGCGUGGAGCCGUCCUUGAAAUACCACCCUUUAAUGGCUGGUGUUCUAACGUAGACCCGUAAUCCGGGUUGCGGACAGUGUCUGGUGGGUAGUUUGACUGGGGCGGUCUCCUCCCAAAGAGUAACGGAGGAGCACGAAGGUUAGCUAAUCCUGGUCGGACAUCAGGAGGUUAGUGCAAUGGCAUAAGCUAGCUUGACUGCGAGAGUGACGGCUCGAGCAGGUGCGAAAGCAGGUCAUAGUGAUCCGGUGGUUCUGAAUGGAAGGGCCAUCGCUCAACGGAUAAAAGGUACUCCGGGGAUAACAGGCUGAUACCGCCCAAGAGUUCAUAUCGACGGCGGUGUUUGGCACCUCGAUGUCGGCUCAUCACAUCCUGGGGCUGAAGUAGGUCCCAAGGGUAUGGCUGUUCGCCAUUUAAAGUGGUACGCGAGCUGGGUUUAGAACGUCGUGAGACAGUUCGGUCCCUAUCUGCCGUGGGCGCUGGAGAAUUGAGGGGGCUGCUCCUAGUACGAGAGGACCGGAGUGGACGCAUCACUGGUGUUCGGGUUGUCAUGCCAAUGGCACUGCCCGGUAGCUAAAUGCGGAAGAGAUAAGUGCUGAAAGCAUCUAAGCACGAAACUUGCCCCGAGAUGAGUUCUCCCUGAGACUUAAAGUCUCCUGAAGGAACGUUGAAGACGACGACGUUGAUAGGUCGGGUGUGUAAGCGCAGCGAUGCGUUGAGCUAACCGAUACUAAUGAACCGUGAGGCUUAACCUU